rnacentral:misc_RNA from 1 species
GAUGAAGAACUAGCGAAAUGCGAUAAGUAAUGUGAAUUGCAGAAUUCAGUGAAUCAUCGAGUUUUUGAACGCAUAUUGCGCCCUCUGGUAUUCCGGGGGGCAUGCCUGUUCGAGCGUCAUUAAAUAACCCUCAAGCAUAGCUUGGUGUUGGGCUUUUUUACGUCCUUGACUGGGAUGGGCCUAAAAAUUAGUGGCGAUGGCUUUUUUACUUUCAAGCGUAGUAAAUCUCGUCUUGCUAAAGAGGAAAAAGAUUUUUUUUCUGCCAAAAAUUUUAACAUUUAAAGUUGACCUCGGAUCAGGUAGGAUUACCCGCUGAACUUAAGCAUAUCAAUAAGCGGAGGA